GACGAACGCUGGCGGCGUGCUUAACACAUGCAAGUCGGACGCUGAAGCUCAGCUUUUGUUGGGUGGAUGAGUGGCGAACGGGUGAGUAACACGUGAGUAACCUGCCCCCUUCUUUGGGAUAACGCCCGGAAACGGGUGCUAAUACUGGAUAUUCACUGGUCUUCGCAUGGGGGUUGGUGGAAAGGGUUUUUCUGGUGGGGGAUGGGCUCGCGGCCUAUCAGCUUGUUGGUGGGGUGAUGGCCUACCAAGGCUUUGACGGGUAGCCGGCCUGAGAGGGUGACCGGUCACAUUGGGACUGAGAUACGGCCCAGACUCCUACGGGAGGCAGCAGUGGGGAAUAUUGCACAAGGGGCGCAAGCCUGAUGCAGCGACGCCGCGUGAGGGAUGGAGGCCUUCGGGUUGUGAACCUCUUUCGCUCAUGGUCAAGCCGCAACAAUGGUUGUGGUGAGGGUAGUGGGUAAAGAAGCGCCGGCUAACUACGU
rnacentral:rRNA from 1 species